rnacentral:rRNA from 1 species
AUUGAACGCUGGCGGCAGGCCUAACACAUGCAAGUCGAACGAGUGGCGGACGGGUGAGUAAUGUCUGGGAAACUGCCUGAUGGAGGGGGAUAACUACUGGAAACGGUAGCUAAUACCGCAUACCAUCAGAUGCGCCCAGUCGGGAUUAGCCAGUUGGUGGGGUAACGACUCACCAAGGCGACGAUCCCUAGCUGGUCUGAGAGGAUGACCAGCCAAGCUGGGACUGAGACACGGUCCAGACUCCUACGGGAGGCAGCAGUGGGGAAUAUUGCACAAUGGGCGCAAGCCUGAUGCAGCCAUGCCGCGUGUAUGAAGAAGGCCUUCGGGUUGAAAAGUACUUUCAGCGGGGAGGCGUUACCCACAGAAGAAGCAACGGCUAGCUCCGUGCCAGCAGCCGCGGUAAUAC